rnacentral:rRNA from 1 species
UGGCGCAGCUACCAUGCAAGUCGAGCGGUAGCACAGAGAGCUUGCUCUCGGGUGACGAGCGGCGGACGGGUGAGUAAUGUCUGGGAAACUGCCUGAUGGAGGGGGAUAACUACUGGAAACGGUAGCUAAUACCGCAUAAUGUCGCAAGACCAAAGUGGGGGACCUUCGGGCCUCAUGCCAUCAGAUGUGCCCAGAUGGGAUUAGCUAGUAGGUGGGGUAACGGCUCACCUAGGCGACGAUCCCUAGCUGGUCUGAGAGGAUGACCAGCCACACUGGAACUGAGACACGGUCCAGACUCCUACGGGAGGCAGCAGUGGGGAAUAUUGCACAAUGGGCGCAAGCCUGAUGCAGCCAUGCCGCGUGUGUGAAGAAGGCCUUCGGGUUGUAAAGCACUUUCAGCGGGGAGGAAGGCGGUGAGGUUAAUAACCUUGUCGAUUGACGUUACCCGCAGAAGAAGCACCGGCUAACUCCGUGCCAGCAGCCGCGGUAAUACGGAGGGUGCAAGCGUUAAUCGGAAUUACUGGGCGUAAAGCGCACGCAGGCGGUCUGUCAAGUCGGAUGUGAAAUCCCCGGGCUCAACCUGGGAACUGCAUUCGAAACUGGCAGGCUAGAGUCUUGUAGAGGGGGGUAGAAUUCCAGGUGUAGCGGUGAAAUGCGUAGAGAUCUGGAGGAAUACCGGUGGCGAAGGCGGCCCCCUGGACAAAGACUGACGCUCAAGUGCGAAAGCGUGGGUAGCAAACAGGAUUAGAUACCUGGUAGUCCCGCCGUAAACGAUGUCGAUUGGAGGUGGACCCUGGAGGCUGGCUUCCGAAACUAACGCGUUAAAUCGACGCGCCUGGGGAAUACGGGCGCUAGGUUAUAAUCAAUCAAUUAACGGGGGCCCCCAGAUGCGGGGAG